AGUGAACGCUGGCGGUAGGCCUAACACAUGCAAGUCGAACGGCAGCACAGUAAGAGCUUGCUCUUCCGGGUGGCGAGUGGCGGACGGGUGAGGUAUACAUCGGAAUCUACUUUUUCGUGGGGGAUAACGUAGGGAAACUUACGCUAAUACCGCAUACGCCCUACGGGUGAAAGCAUGGGAUCUUCGGACCUUGCGCGAUUGAAUGCGCCGAUGUCGGAUUAGCUAGUUGGCGGGGUAAAGGCCCACCAAGUCGACGAUCCGUAGCUGGUCUGAGAGGAUGAUCAGCCACACUGGAACUGAGACACGGUCAAGACUCCUACGGGAGGCAGCAGUGGGGAAUAUUGGACAAUGGGCGCAAGCCUGAUCCAGCCAGACCGCGUGGGUGAAGAAGGCCUUCGGGUUGUAAAGCCCUUUUGUUGGGAAAGAAAAGCAGCAGGUUAAUACCCCGCUGUUCUGACGGUACCCAAAGAAUAAGCACCGGCUAACUUCGUG
rnacentral:rRNA from 1 species